CGAACGCUGGCGGCGUGCCUAAUACAUGCAAGUCGAACGCACUCUCGUUUAGAUUGAAGGAGCUUGCUCCUGAUUGAUAACAUUUGAGUGAGUGGCGGACGGGUGAGUAACACGUGGGUAACCUGCCCUAAAGUGGGGGAUAACAUUUGGAAACGGAUGCUAAUACCGCAUAAAACCUAACACCGCAUGGUGUAGGGUUGAAAGAUGGUUUCGGCUAUCACUUUAGGAUGGACCCGCGGUGCAUUAGUUAGUUGGUGAGGUAAAGGCUCACCAAGACCGUGAUGCAUAGCCGACCUGAGAGGGUAAUCGGCCACACUGGGACUGAGACACGGCCCAGACUCCUACGGGAGGCAGCAGUAGGGAAUCUUCCACAAUGGACGAAAGUCUGAUGGAGCAACGCCGCGUGAGUGAAGAAGGUUUCGGAUCGUAAAACUCUGUUGUUGGAGAAGAAUGUAUCUGAUAGUAACUGAUCAGGUAGUGACGGUAUCCAACCAGAAAGCCACGGCUAACUACGUG
rnacentral:rRNA from 1 species